rnacentral:rRNA from 1 species
GAUGAACGCUAGCGGCAGGCUUAAUACAUGCAAGUCGAGGGACAGCACAGGUAGCAAUACUGGGUGGUAACCGGCAAACGGGUGCGGAACACGUACACAACCUUCCUUUAAGUGGGGGAUAGCCCAGAGAAAUUUGGAUUAAUACCCCGUAAUAUAGUUGAAUGGCAUCAUUUGAUUAUUAUAGCUACGGCGCUUAAUGAUGGGUGUGCGGCUGAUUAGAUAGUUGGCGGGGUAACGGCCCACCAAGUCUACGAUCAGUAGCUGAUGUGAGAGCAUGGUCAGCCACACGGGCACUGAGACACGGGCCCGACUCCUACGGGAGGCAGCAGUAAGGAAUAUUGGUCAAUGGACGCAAGUCUGAACCAGCCAUGCCGCGUGAAGGAUUAAGGUCCCCUGGAUUGUAAACUUCUUUUUUUUGGGACGAAAAAGGGUCUUUCUAGGUCAACUGACGGUACCAGAUGAAUAAGCACCGGCUAACUCCGUGCCAGCAGCAGCCGCAG